UGGCUCAGUUGGAAGAGCAUGAGACUCUUGAUCUCAAGGUUGUGAGUUCAAGGCUUAU
rnacentral:tRNA from 1 species